UGUAGGUUGGCUUGUCAUCCUUUGCUGCUAAUAAUGGCAACUCUGAGAAAUCGCUUUUAUGUUAUCACUUUGAUUGUUUUAUCAAUCUGUCUUGCAUCUUCUCCGGCAACAUCUGCUAGACCUUUUAGUGGAUUUCAAAAUCAUCUCACCAUUCCCAACACCAAACCG